CCUACGGGCGGCUGCAGUGGGGGAUAUUGCACAAUGGGGGAACCCCUGAUGCAGCAAAGCCGCGUGUGGGAAGAAGGUUUUCGGAUUGUAAACCACUGUUUUCGGUGAAGAUACUGCCGGUACCCAAGGAGAAAGCUACGGCUAACUAAGUGCCAGCAGCAGCCGUAAUACGUAGGGAGCCAGCGUUGUCCGGCUUUACUGGGUGUAAAGGGUGCGUAGGCGGUCUUGCAAGUCAGACGUGAAAACCACAGGCUCAACCUGUGGACUGCGUUUGAAACUGUGGGGCUUGAGUGAAGUAGAGGUAGGCGGAAUGCCCGGUGUAGCGGUGAAAUGCGGAGAGAUCGGGAGGAACACCAGUGGCGAAGGCAGCCUACUGGGCUUUAACUGACGCUGAGGCACGAAAGCAUGGGUAGCAAACAGGAUUAGAUACCCUGGUAGUC
rnacentral:rRNA from 1 species